rnacentral:sRNA from 1 species
CUCAGUAGUACAAGCUUGGUCGACUAUGCCCUAUGACUAUAUUCGAUUUUCCUUGUCAAAAUCUCUGCGAUGUUCGGAGCGGAACGCUCGCGAAGUAGUUACCAUCUUUGUCCCGGAAUCAUAGGGAGGGAAAAAAAAAAAAAAAAAAAAAAAAAAGACAUGGCAGGCCCAAUUGGACGACAAUCAG